AUAUUUAAUUUCGGUGAUGUGACCUUGCGCAAUGCUCGAAACACAGAGUUAUAUUCUUCAUUAAGCAACUUCUAUUGUAGAAGCUAUCUGACUACAUCAGUUACGUUUACAAAAGAUGAGAAAAUUCGCCAGUCGACAUAAAAUUCGACUGGAAGACAGCAGGGCUGAGGCGGCGAGAGGUGCUGCCGCGGUCCUAAGAUGGCGGCGCCGUGAGGGGGGAGCGGGCUGGACAGGGACGGCUGUUGUUGAAGCUGCAUUGUUCCCGCUGCAGCCGCCGCCCGCCGUGUCCGCCGCGCCGUGCCCAGUAAAGCCACUGUAGGCAGCACCAUGCAGAAGAACAGCUGGGGUCCUGCCUGCCUGUGGACAGGAAGUCCUGUUUCCCACAAAAGCUGAGCUCCAGAGGAGUUGGUGCCUUCAAGAAGUGAGAUGUCAGCUCAGCCUGCACCCAUCGUCUGCUUAUGAUGUGAUUUGGUACAAGGUGGUCUGAACAGGUCUUCAUGCCCUACUUCCUGUUGUGACAUGUGUCCGACAGCCGGUGAUCUCUCUGACCCGGCUAGCAGCGGAGUGGCUGGAGAUGAGCCGCAACACGUGGUGGAGAAUGCGGGCACCCAGCGUGUGGCACUGAAGAGUGCCAACCCCCCAGCGAAUGUGGGGUAUUGAGGACAGCUCAGAGAGACUACCAAUGUGAGGCCCUAGAACACUGUGGGCUUUGGUACUCAGGAGUGAGGUUUCGCGAGGAUCAACAGAGAAGAGAGGGGAUGUAAGCUUUCAAUUUUAAGUCUUGCUUUUGUUUAAAAGCUGCCAAAGAAGACCCUAAAACAAUUACAUCAACACUUUAAGAUCAAAAUAAUCAACCCCCACUCCUCUCUAGAAUUUUUCUUAAAUUUAAUUGAUUUCUUUUGAGAUGCAUUUAUUGUGUUGUUGUUUUGUUACGUUGUCAGGAUGCUAAGAGAUUAUUUUUCAUUUCAAUAAGGUAAUCAUUUAAAUUUUCGUUUUGAUUGUGCAAUAUUUAACAGACUUCCUUUCCCAGUUUUCUCAUUCUGCCCCCCCAUGUCCCUGAACCCACUGACCCUGAGAACAGAAUGGGAGAUGGAAUCUGCCAUCUUCCCUCCUUCUCUGUCCCCUACCUAGGACAGCACUGUCCAUGCUGCCCUGGAUUGUACCCUAACCACUUUCCAUCAGCCCUCAACCCCACCCCCACUUUCCUAUUGGCAGUUCCCGAUUUUUGUUAAAAUUCAUGUUGCAGACCUUGCCGUCAUUUCCUGUUUAUUUAUGUGGGUGACCCUUGGAGUUAGGCCAGUUGACCCAUUUGUUUAUUUAUUUAACUUUGCAGCAUGAACCCUGUUUAGUUGUAAACUUUAUUUACAGCAUUCUACAUAUUUUUGUUCUCAAGUUUAGUUAAAUUGAUUGUAAAGUCUAUUAAGUAGAGUGUCAUUUUAGUUAAAAUAAGACUGUUACACGUUUCAUUUCAAAUGAAAGAAGAGAGGGGAUUUGUGCAAGUUUGUCCUGCAGGGGAUGGGCUAGGAACUGGCCUCACAGCCACACCCCAAUAUCAGACCGCUUGAAAUAAGAAACCACAACUGAUGACAUCCAAGCAGCUUAUGGUGAGGAACAAAGGACUCUGGGACCAGGUGGGAGGGGCCAUGCAGAUCAACAGCCUGUGAUUGGCCAGAAGGCUUCUAGAACAUUCUGAGAGACUGCAUUCUAUGAGAGACUAUAUAUAUGCAUGUUGGCCCCACUUCGGGGUCUUCUGAAGCAGCCUCUUUAAGUUUUGUUUUGCAUCCUUGUUUACGGCCUUUUAUUUAUUUAAUAAAUAUCUUCAGUUUUGACA